AAGACGCGGUUAUAAACGGAUUUCAAAUCAGAAAUGCUCGGGUCCAAGACGAAGAUAUUACCUGGAAAUACAUAAUAAAAUAGUCAACAAGUCAACUAAAUCGUUCUACUUGGAAAUAAAGCGCAACCAUUUUAACACAGAAAAACUGAAUAUAAAAAUAUUACAUAUUUGUUAGACGUUUGCAUAAAUCUUCUAUAAAUCGAGAACGACCGGAGAUAUAACGAUGUGGUUUUAUCUGAAAUGUAAGUAAUUUCAACUUGUGUAAGGGCAUGUCAAAUAAAGAGUAUCGUUCCAUUUAACUAUUUU
rnacentral:lncRNA from 1 species